CCCUUAGAUGUUCUGGGCCGCACGCGCGCUACACUGAUGCAUUCAACGAGCCUAGCCUUGACCGAGAGGUCCGGGUAAUCUUUGAAACUGCAUCGUGAUGGGGCUAGAUUAUUGCAGUUAUUAAUCUUCAACGAGGAAUGCCUAGUAAGCGUGAUUCAUCAAAUCGCGUUGAUUACGUCCCUGCCCUUUGUACACACCGCCCGUCGCUCCUACCGAUUGAGUGUGUUGGUGAGGAGUUCGGAUUGGCUCUUAGUGGUGGUUCGCCACCACCUAGAGCUGAGAAGUUCUCCAAACCGCCCCACUUAGAGGAAGGAGAAGUCGUAACA
rnacentral:rRNA from 1 species